rnacentral:lncRNA from 1 species
AGUUAAAGUGUUAAUUAAUUAAAGGGUGAUUAUGAACCUAAGCCUAAUAUAAUUGAGCUAUGUGAAAAGCCGUUUCAAAUUUGUUUGAACCAUGGGAAUGUGUAGAUUAGAUUUUGGUUGUAAUUUGAUUUGAUCAAAUGUUGUAAAAUGGCAUAAGCCUUCUUUACUUUAAGGUAAUUUGUUUUAUGCAAAUGUUGUAAAGAGCAUAAGCUCAUCUUUACUUUGAAGUACUUCUUUCUUGCUUUAUUUGAUAUGCAUGAAAAAUGAAGUAGUUGGGUCCAACGCCCCUAAGACAACACGCCUUAAUGUGAUUAAACGCGUAACUAAAAUCAAUCACCAUCCCUAGACCGAGAUUCAACACUAUGCUCAUGUUGAAUCUAAACAAAGGUUCAUAGUCAUCCUAAGGCCCUAAGGCAACUAUAUAGUCCAUCAAAUGAAUGCAAAGUUUAUGUUAGUAAUAUCAUAUACUCUUGCUUUAAAAACCGUUUUAUAAGCAUAGUGGGAGUAUUAUAUACAACUAAAACAAUCAAAUGAACCAAUAGUUGUAAUAGGACCAAAAUUGUUUUAAUAUAGUUUAAAAUGAAUAUUUAUAUGUGAUGAGACCUAAAACCCUCAACCAAACCAUUAUUAAGUUGAUAAGCGUGAGAGUGCUUUGAACACUCUUUCGUGGCCUUUGAAGGAAUAUUUUGUGAAAACAUGUUCAUUUAAGCAACAUCAUAUAGCAUGCAAUUAACAAUUAAAGGCGGAAUCAUGCUAGCAUGCACUUAAAAACAAAACAUUAACCAAGAAAUUCAAAGCCUAGUAGAUUGGUGAACCAUUAAUCAACUCAAAACAAAGUGAGUUGAGAUUUAUAUACCUUUGUAGAUUC